rnacentral:rRNA from 1 species
AGUCGAACGGCAGCGCGGGGCAACCUGGCGGCGAGUGGCGAACGGGUGAGUAAUAUAUCGGAACGUACCCAAGAGUGGGGGAUAACGUAGCGAAAGUUACGCUAAUACCGCAUACGAUCUAUGGAUGAAAGUGGGGGAUCGCAAGACCUCAUGCUCCUGGAGCGGCCGAUAUCUGAUUAGCUAGUUGGUGAGGUAAAGGCUCACCAAGGCGACGAUCAGUAGCUGGUCUGAGAGGACGACCAGCCACACUGGAACUGAGACACGGUCCAGACUCCUACGGGAGGCAGCAGUGGGGAAUUUUGGACAAUGGGCGCAAGCCUGAUCCAGCAAUGCCGCGUGAGUGAAGAAGGCCUUCGGGUUGUAAAGCUCUUUUGUCAGGGAAGAAACGGCUGGGGAUAAUACCCUCGGCUAAUGACGGUACCUGAAGAAUAAGCACCGGCUAACUACGUGCCAGCAGCCGCGGUAAUACGUAGGGUGCAAGCGUUAAUCGGAAUUACUGGGCGUAAAGCGUGCGCAGGCGGUUUUGUAAGUCUGUCGUGAAAGCCCCGGGCUCAACCUGGGAAUUGCGAUGGAGACUGCAAGGCUUGAAUCUGGCAGAGGGGGGUAGAAUUCCACGUGUAGCAGUGAAAUGCGUAGAGAUGUGGAGGAACACCGAUGGCGAAGGCAGCCCCCUGGGUCAAGAUUGACGCUCAUGCACGAAAGCGUGGGGAGCAAACAGGAUUAGAUACCCUGGUAGUCCACGCCCUAAACGAUGUCUACUAGUUGUCGGGUCUUAAUUGACUUGGUAACGCAGCUAACGCGUGAAGUAGACCGCCUGGGGAGUACGGUCGCAAGAUUAAAACUCAAAGGAAUUGAC